AGCGAACGCUGGCGGCAGGCCUAACACAUGCAAGUCGAACGAACCUUUCGGGGUUAGUGGCGGACGGGUGAGUAACACGUGGGAACGUGCCUUUAGGUUCGGAAUAACUCAGGGAAACUUGUGCUAAUACCGAAUGUGCCCUUCGGGGGCAAGAUUUAUCGCCUUUAGAGCGGCCCGCGUCGGAUUAGCUAGUUGGUUGAGGUAAUGGCUCACCAAGGCGACGAUCAGUAGCUGGUCUGAGAGGAUGAUCAGCCACAUUGGGACUGAGACACGGCCCAAACUCCUACGGGAGGCAGCAGUGGGGAAUCUUGCGCAAUGGGCGAAAGCCUGACGCAGCCAUGCCGCGUGAAUGAUGAAGGUCGUAGGAUAGUAAAAUUCUUUCACCGGGGACGAUAAUGACGGUACCCGGAGAAGAAGCCCCGGCUAACUUCGUG
rnacentral:rRNA from 1 species